UAAAAUAUCACUUUGAACGUGCAACUGGGAUAAAUCCCACACGCUUUAUUGAAAAUUAUUUGUCUAAGCGGAAAAGACUUAUUCAAGUUUCGAGAACGUACAUCGAUAAAAAACUGCACAUUAACGACACUGCAACAGACUUGGAAAUUUUUGUUGGUGUUUCAAAAAUAUUGAAGGAAGAUUUUUCUACAGUCUUGAUCAGUUUUGAUAAUGAUGCUACCGUCUUGGAUACAACUACUUCAUCUCCUAUUCUCGCAUUAGUUGGUCGCAAUAUGUACUAUGUCCACGCUGAAGGCAUGAUUGUGACAGAAGGCGUAGACAAUAUCGUGGAAGCUGUAUUGAAUUUCCUCAUGUUUUUUUUUGUAUAUUUUUACAAAUAUCCUGCUUCAGUUUCAAAAACUUUAGAGUUUUUUCAGUUAUAUUUACUGAAACUUAAGCCUGAUAAAGGCACCAGAUCAGUUGCAACAAUAGUAGGUAAACAACAGCGACAAGUUCGAACACUUUUAAUCAAACUAGCUAAAAUUCAAUAGAUUUUUUCUUUUACUUGUAUUCAAACAAAAACUUGCCAUUUAUGCUUUCGUAGGGACGUGUUUGUUAACAUUAUUAAAAAAAGUCUUCGCCGACUGUUCUUCAACGCAACGUCAAAAAAUGUUUAAUUCUACUAAUUUAUAUAAGAAGACAAAAUCGUUUCAGUAAGUAACUCGAAUGCCAAAGCUUUGCUUUAUUAAAAGAUUUAAA